AUAGAAAUCAACCAGGGAUCUUGCAAAAACACAGAUUCUGGUUCACCGAGCAGAGGCCUGAGACUCUGCAGUUCUACCAAGCUCCCAGAUGAUGCUGGC
rnacentral:pre_miRNA from 1 species